GAAAAAAGGACACACUAGAUUUUGAUCGGGGCCCGAACUCCACCUUGCUGGGGCGCAUGAGUGGCGAACGGGUGAGUAAUACGUGAGUAACCUGCCCUUGACUCUGGGAUAAGCCUGGGAAACCGGGUCUAAUACUGGAUACGACGUCCUACCGCAUGGUGGGGCGUGGAAAGGGUUUUACUGGUUUUGGAUGGGCUCACGGCCUAUCAGCUUGUUGGUGGGGUAAUGGCCUACCAAGGCGACGACGGGUAGCCGGCCUGAGAGGGUGACCGGCCACACUGGGACUGAGACACGGCCCAGACUCCUACGGGAGGCAGCAGUGGGGAAUAUUGCACAAUGGGCGCAAGCCUGAUGCAGCGACGCCGCGUGAGGGAUGACGGCCUUCGGGUUGUAAACCUCUUUCAGCAGGGAAGAAGCCACAAGUGACGGUACCUGCAGAAGAAGCGCCGGCUAACUACGUGCCAGCAGCCGCGGUAAUACGUAGGGCGCAAGCGUUGUCCGGAAUUAUUGGGCGUAAAGAGCUCGUAGGCGGUUUGUCGCGUCUGCUGUGAAAGCCCGGGGCUCAACCCCGGGUCUGCAGUGGGUACGGGCAGACUAGAGUGCAGUAGGGGAGACUGGAAUUCCUGGUGUAGCGGUGAAAUGCGCAGAUAUCAGGAGGAACACCGAUGGCGAAGGCAGGUCUCUGGGCUGUUACUG
rnacentral:rRNA from 1 species